rnacentral:lncRNA from 10 species
UCUAAUAAACAACACGUCAAGGGAAAAAAAACCUAUCAGGAGUCACAGAAUUAAAAUGUACUAUAUAGGCAAGAAUGCUGGAAGAGAUGGAUCGUAUGGCACUCUCUAGAGGGCUCUUUUCUGACUGACAUAGCUAUUAAGGAACACCGGGCUGGCAGAAUGUGUGUAAUAGAGAAACAGAAUGUGUGUAACAGAGAAGCAGAAUGUGUGUAAUAGAAAAGCAGUAUGAGGCAGAACAUCUAAGAGACUACGCAGACAGUAGAGGCAAGAGGUCAUAAGGGCCCCAGCUAGCCUGGAAGCAGUAGGAAUGGAAAGGGACAAACAAGAAACUUUAUAGAAGAAUCCAUGAGAACUAGUGACUGAAUUGGACAGGAAAGAACAGAAUAAGGAAGACAUCAAAAUCAGGUUCCCAGCCUGGGACAGACUCAGAAAGGCGUUCUGGUCCUCAGCUGUUUCACAAAGUCUGGAAGGUGCUGCCGUUGGUGGUCAUACAGUAUUGCAAGGGGAGCUCCUGAAGCCACGACAGCAUCUGAGAUAUGAGUUCUAGUCAACUCUGCCAUCUAAACAUGAACACACACAAGAAAGGCAAAUGUAUUAAAACGUAAGGUCAGAGAACUGAGAAGGAGCAUAGUGUCUUGGAAAGAAAGAUCACUGACUUGAGAACAAGCAAAUUCUGCCACUAAUAGAUGAAAUACUGUGGACAAGUCAUUUAGCCUCUUUAAGUCUCAACAGCUUCAUCUUAUAAAAACAGAGUUAGACUACAUGAUUUCUACGGUUUCACCCAGCUAUAACAAUCUAUGAAUUAGACAGAAAACC